CAGGCUGUCAAAAUGGUUGUGAAUUAUGUAUUUUCUAAUAGACAUAUCACAGCCAUUUUGACGAGUUUGC
rfam:Glossina brevipalpis unplaced genomic scaffold Scaffold72, whole genome shotgun sequence.